GAGCAAAGUUUGUUCAAAUAAUAUUUUGACAUUAAAAGAACAUUCCUUUUGUGUGGAAGUAAUGUUGUGUUCAUUUAAUAUCAGGUUAAAACAUUAUCUCUAUGUUCUAUGUUCGAUGAAUAUUCAUUUAUAUUCUAGGAACAUGAACAUAAAUAGAAUGUAGCUGAAUAUUCCGUUAAGAUAUUAAAUCAACUAAAAAAUUAAAAAAUGGUUUUAUGUUCUUUGAAUGUUCAGGGAACAUUCAUAGAACAUUAAUUACGCGCAUGCGUUAAUUUAAAAACUGGUCUCAAAACAUGCGCCAUUUUAAUUAUUGCUCAAAAACAAAAACAAAGCCGAUUAGGCUGCUGCUGCGAAUUUGCAGCACUCAAUCAGCUUCGCGCGCGUCCCCUGCGUGUCGCUCUUGCCGACUUAAUUGAAAUAUCGCCGAAUUCACGAGGUCUUUUGCAAGAUUAAAGUGUGAAAUUGUCUCAACAUCGUUGAUUAAGUUCGUUGGAAAUAUAAUAUAAUUCCGGCGUGUCAUGAUGUGAUCCAGAGUGAUCCUCUCCCGUCCCUAAUUCACGCGCGUGGCCCACGUACAUACACACAUAUCAGGUGAUGGCAAAAAGGGAUCCAAUCCGCAGGCAAUGGACAGCGUGCCAAGAUUAUUACACAAGCUGCGCGCCUUUGGACUCUGGAAAGUUGGGAAGCAAUGCAGUUGCCUCUGAUGUAUUUCAUCUCCAGUGGAUUCAUUGUGCAACCGCAUUUUAUUAAAAAUAAAUAUACUGCUCGAUGCAUCAGUUGGGUAAGCCCUUAGUGUUCGGAGCAAUCAACAGAUGGCGCCACAACCUACUUAUACUAUACUUCCGAUCUUAUAAUUAAGGAACUGUCACUGCGAUUUCAAACUCGAUCCUGCUGCUGUGCAUUCUUCACUUAAUAUAUGUCCUCUUUUGACGUGGUAAAAUUCAAAAUCGGUUAAGCCAAUCGCCGUAGAAUCAUGAAAAAUCUUUGAAAUAAAUUAAAAUCUUUUCUAACGUUUCUACGGUGAAAUGGCUUGACUAAUUUUUGUUUUUAGCAGUCUAAAUGAGAAAUUCAAGACGCAGAUUGCACAAGCUGGAUUGCGUCUGAAAUCGCAGUGGAAGUGCCUUAAAAUCGAAAAUAUAGAUAAGUAUAUGGUGGCGCCAUCUGUUGGCGGCUUGAACACUAAGGGUUUACUUAACUCGUGUAUUGAAACCGUUAUAGAAAUAA